GGAAGAGGUACGCCGGCCCUCUCCUGUCCAGGGAUAAGGACACCGACUGUCCCUGUUGUAAAAGACGGCGUUUAUAAGAGGCGCGGGCCCCCAAGGCACCAGCUUCCAGCGCAGAUAAGACCAGCGGAAGCCAUUACAGCGGUCACCUACUGAACAUCUUGCCUUGGGGAAAAAAACACCUAUUACCAACUGCCUGC